rnacentral:rRNA from 1 species
GAUGAACGCUGGCGGCGCGCCUAACACAUGCAAGUCGAACGAUUAAAGCACCUUCGGGUGUGUAUAAAGUGGCGAACGGCUGAGUAACACGUGGGCAACCUGCCCCUCUCAUUGGGAUAGCCACGGGAAACCGUGGAUAAUACCGAAUACUUCGGGACUUCCGCAUGGAAGACUCGAGAAAGCUCCGGCGGAGAGGGAUGGGCCCGCGGCCUGUUAGCUUGUUGGUGGGGUAAUGGCCUACCAAGGCAAUGAUGGGUAGCUGGGUUGAGAGACCGACCAGCCAGAUUGGGACUGAGACACGGCCCAGACUCCUACGGGAGGCAGCAGUGGGGAAUCUUGCACAAUGGGCGAAAGCCUGAUGCAGCGACGCCGCGUGCGGGAUGAAGGCCUUCGGGUUGUAAACCGCUUUCAGCAGGGACGAGGCGAAAGUGACAGUACCUGCAGAAGAAGCCCCGGCUAACUACGUG